rnacentral:rRNA from 1 species
UGAAUACCAGACGCUACGGCGUUGAAGCAGUGUAUGUCAGACUUCCAAGAAAAGCUCGCAAUGUCCGAAAUAAAAUAAUGCCUGUACCUUAACCGACACAGGUGGGUAGGUAGAGUAUACUAAGGGGCGCGAGAUAACUCUCUCUAAGGAACUCGGCAAAAUAACUCCGUAACUUCGGGAGAAGGAGUGCCUUAUUUUAAGGUUGCAAUAACAAGAUCCAAGCAACUGUUUACCAAAAACACAGGUCUCCGCUAAGUCGUAAGACGAUGUAUGGGGGCUGACGCCUGCCCAGUGCCAGAAGGUUAAAGAAGUUGGUUAGCUAUUGCGAAGCUGAUGACUGAAGCCCUGGUGAACGGCGGCCGUAACAAUAACGGUCCUAAGGUAGCGAAAUUCCUUGUCGGGUAAGUUCCGACCCGCACGAAAGGCGUAAUGAUUUGGAUACUGUCUCGGAGAGGGGCUCGGUGAAAUAGACUUGUCUGUGAAGAUGCGGACUACCUGCACCUGGACAGAAAGACCCUAUGAAGCUUUACUGUAACUUGAAAUUGAAAUUGGACUUUAUUUGCGCAGUAUAGGUGGGAGGCGUUUGAAGAUAUUCUUGCGGGAAUGUUGGAGCCAUUAGUGAGAUACCACUCUUGUAAUGUUAGAUUUCUAACUUUGUACCAUAAUCUGGUCAAAGAACAGUUUCAGGCGGGCAGUUUGACUGGGGCGGUCGCCUCCCAAAUGGUAACGGAGGCGUACAAAGGUUUCCUCUGAACGUGUAGAAAUCGUAUCUAGAGUGUAAAGGCAUAAGGAAGCUUGACUGUGAGACCUACAAGUCAAGCAGGGACGAAAGUCGGUCUUAGUGAUCUGACGGUACUGAGUGGAAAGGCCGUCACUCAACGGAUAAAAGUUACUCUAGGAUAACAGGCUGAUCUCCCCCAAGAGUUCACAUCGACGGGGAGGUUUGGCACCUCGAUGUCGGCUCAUCGCAUCCUGGGGCGGUAGUACGUCCCAAGGGUUGGGCUGUUCGCCCAUGAAAGCGGUACGCGAGCUGGGUUCAGAACGUCGUGAGACAGUUCGGUCCAUAUCCGGUGUAGGCGUUAGAAUAUUGAGAGGAGCCUUCUUUAGUACGAGAGGACCGAGAAGGACAUACCUCUGGUGUACCAGUUAUCGUGCCAACGGUAAACGCUGGGUAGCUAUGUAUGGAGAGGAUAACCGCUGAAAGCAUCUAAGUGGGAAGCCCACCUCGAGAUGAGUAUUCUCA